CAAUGAUACUUUGUGCUGAGAAUAAAACAGCACAAAAUUAUGAUAAUAAAAUGAGUACAAGGAUAAACGACCUCAUUCUUAUCUGAUGGUACAAGAUAGGGCUUUGCAAGAAUCUCUAACUAAAUAUUACAUCUGGAAGCCAACUCAAACCGCAACUUAGACAAACAUGAAACUGGAUCAUGAGUAGGGGAGGCUAUGUUUUGGAAAGUAAACUGGUGUGCAAGGUUGUGGUACAGACUAACGAGUUCUACAAUAUCCAUAAUCACAAAUUUCUAAUGACAGUAAAGU
rnacentral:lncRNA from 1 species